GGAGGGAUGGCCGAGUCCGGUUGAUGGCGGCGGUCUUGAAAACCGUUAGAGCGCAAGCUCUCGGGGGUUCGAAUCCCUCUCCCUCCGCCA
rnacentral:tRNA from 1 species